UGGGGGAUGGCUCGGCUCGAGAGCCGAAGAAGGUCGUGACAAGCUGCGAUAAGUCGCGGGG
rnacentral:rRNA from 1 species